GACGAACGCUGGCGGCGUGCUUAACACAUGCAAGUCGAACGGAAAGGCCCUGCUUUUGUGGGGUGCUCGAGUGGCGAACGGGUGAGUAACACGUGAGUAACCUGCCCUUGACUUUGGGAUAACUUCAGGAAACUGGGGCUAAUACCGGAUAGGAGCUCCUGCUGCAUGGUGGGGGUUGGAAAGUUUCGGUGGUUGGGGUUGGACUCGCGGAUUAUUAGCUUGUUGGUGGGGUAGUGGCUUACCAAGGCUUUGACGGGUAGCCGGCCUGGGAGGGUGACCUGCCACACUGGGCCUGAGCUACGGCCCAGACUCGUACGGGAGGCAGCAGUGGGGAAUAUUAUAUUAUGGGCGGAAGCCUGAUGCAGCAACGCCGCGUGCGGGAUGUCGGCCUUCGGGUUGUAUACCGCUUUCGCCUGUGACGAAGCGUGAGUGACGGUAACGGGUAAAGAAGCACCGGCUAACUCCGUG
rnacentral:rRNA from 1 species